rnacentral:rRNA from 1 species
CACGUAGGGCGCAAGCGUUGUCCGGAAUUAUUGGGCGUAAAGAGCUCGUAGGCGGUCUGUUGCGUCCGCUGUGAAAACUCGGGGCUUAACCCCGAGCCUGCAGUGGAUACGGGCAGACUAGAGGUAGGUAGGGGAGAAUGGAAUUCCCGGUGUAGCGGUGAAAUGCGCAGAUAUCGGGAGGAACACCGAUGGCGAAGGCAGCCCCCUGGGUUAACACUGACGCUCAUGCACGAAAGCGUGGGGAGCAAACAGG